rnacentral:lncRNA from 1 species
GGCAGAAAAGGGGCUGAGUUGGGAGGCAAGGGAGGUAGGAGGAAAGGGAUGAAAAGAAUUAGGCAUGAGAUAGGAAGGUAAAACUUGGGAGAGAUAUUAUAGAAUUAGAAGGGUUGGAAUGGAGCUCAUUCAUCAUGGCUGAUGAAGUAAACUGAUGAGGUGGAGAGAGACAGAGUCAAGGCAAGGCCAAACGAAAAGAUCUUCCAUCCCACUCUUCAGUUUCUUGCGAAGUUUUUCUUGAUUCCGCCAAUCCACACAGUUUCCUUUAUAAAAUGGAAAAGCAUGAACUAAAAAACCCAGAAAUAGCUAUCUGGCUUAGAUUUACAGGAUAAAAUCUCCAUGUCUGUAAAAACUUUAAGGCAGAAAUUUGGGAUUUAUGGUACAAACCCUUUAAGGGACUGUGAGUCAGUAAUACCCACAGCACUCAACAUUGUGAGUUUCCACACAUCCCUGGACUUGAGUGAGUCUUUCCAAGUGUUUGUUAAUGGUACAAAUGAUGACAAAAUUAGUGGUUCAAAAAUAUUAAAGUGCACAUGCUUUUUGCUUUCUCUAUGUAUACAGAGAUUACAUAUAUGUAUACUUUCUAGCGUCUAGCAAGUAUGGUAUGGCUAGGGAUAAUUAUGUUUUUCUGAUUAUUUUGUUUCCCAUCAAACACCCCACGAAUUUUACAGCAGACCGCCUUCUUGUCACCAUUUGAAAGAAUGUGGUCAGAAAAGUAAUGCAAAAACUGCCACUUUGGUUUUGUCUGUACCUUCCAGGUCAUAUCUCCGUACCUCACUUCCUGACACAAACAAGUUUUCACUGUUGUCAGCAACAAAGCCCUAAUAUAGCUGCGGAAGAGAAAAACUGCAUUGCAUUUUGCCUCCUGCAAGCAUCAUCAACAGUUACUGGAGGAACGUAAUUCCAGAAAGCUUGAAAGCCGUGGUGAUGGUAAUUAUGUAUCAAAUGCCUGGUUCUAUUUCUGUUAUUAUUGUUUUGUCAUUUCUGUUUUCCCAGCGAUCUGACUGAACUCGCAGAGGGACAAAUCCAGUUUUUCUUUUUGACUUUUGUCAAACUAAAUCAGGCCUGAUAGAAAACUCAUUGCUCUCCGGGGAAACAAAGUAGGAGCCACGAAAUGUCAUUUUAACAGAGCGUGGGUUUGGUGACUGUAGGAAAGGAUUUGAGGACGCUCCUUCUGUUCGGCUUCCUAUGUCAUGAGCACAGGCUCCACGCACGCACAGACACCACGGCUCCCGGAUGCUGUGGCUCCCCGAUCGGGGCUCCUGCAGCGCCAGAAGCCCCUCCGGGAUGCUUCGAGGGGCUCCCGGUGGGUGGAGGUACGGACGCCGCUGCGGCCGCCGCCGCCAGUCCUGCUGCUGUUGUUGCUGCUGCAGUCACGUGGGAGCCCCUUUAAGUUUCCAUAGAGAGGCCUCUCUGGUGUCACAUGAUGGACAUGAUAUAAUGAAACAACAUUGUGGAGAGGAAAGCAUUAGGGGAGCCCACGGCUACAAAAACAAGUGAGUGAGAAGAGGUGGGAGGAAGAGAAACUACGCCACCUCCCCUGCAGCCGAGUGCACGCAGCAGCCUGGCGUGACAAGUGGGCGACGCCGGGGGGCAGGGAGCCGGGGUCCUUGGCCCUGGCCGGGGACCCCACCGCCCACCGCGCGGAGGACAACUUUUAGCCGGCAGCCCAGACCAGCGCGGCACCUGUCUCCGGAGUCUCCACCGCUCCUCCCGAUUCAUCCCAGGGAAAUUCUCAAGAAUACGCUCUACAAAUCUACGUGCGCAUCAUUUUCACCUCGCGUCGCGCCCGGGAGGAAGGAACGAGGCAAGGAGCUAAAGCAGCGUGCGUUCAGCCCUGGGGCAUUUUAUUAAUGCUUUUACGAGUUAGAAGAGUUGGGAUAAUUUGCCAUCUGGAGUUUCUCUGCCUUGCUGAUCUGAGCUCAGACCUGCCAAUUUACCAGAGAUAAUUGAUAACACCCUGUAACAGCUGAGUAAGUAGAUUCUUCUGUUUUACUGCUUUUAAAAAAAGUUUAAAGUUUUAAAAUAGUAUAAACUUUAAUUGGGUUCUUUAAAUUUUGUUGUUGAAUAAUGCAAUUAUUAUGAUAUUUUGUGAAUAUUUGUAAAUAAUGGGAUUCUGGAAUAAAUUAAUCCCCGAUGAUAGAAAAGAGUUAAUGAACACUUUCUCCAUACAUAACACUUUAGCAUUCAAGAAACAUAG